rnacentral:rRNA from 1 species
UACGUAGGGUGCGAGCGUUGUCCGGAAUUAUUGGGCGUAAAGAGCUUGUAGGCGGUUUGUCGCGUCUGCUGUGAAAAUCCGAGGCUCAACCUCGGACUUGCAGUGGGUACGGGCAGACUAGAGUGUGGUAGGGGAGACUGGAAUUCCUGGUGUAGCGGUGGAAUGCGCAGAUAUCAGGAGGAACACCGAUGGCGAAGGCAGGUCUCUGGGCCACUAC